rnacentral:lncRNA from 1 species
AAAACAAGGCCCAUCCCAAAUUUCCUGAGCAGUUUGCAUGGUUUGAGCUCUCCUCCCAAUCCAUCUAGUUUCUGCUGCUGCUUAUUGGCUCUAUGUGUGACCAGGCUGCUAGUUCUGUCUUUCUCAGUGAGGGAGGUGUUCUAGCAAGGCUCAAUUCCAUCUAAGCACCUGUCCACAUGGUGAGCCCGGUGCUCCCCAACCACCCCCGCCAUGAGGACCAAUGACUAGCCAGUGUAGAAUAAGUUUGGCCAGAUAAGGAGAUGGCACUGCCAAGUGAUACAUGCUGCCCAAGUAACCUGACCCCUAGUUGUGCUCCUGGGAGGAAAGAUCUGGGGGACAACCCCUACCCUGAGCACACCUAUGGGCCAUCUUUGUCAGUCUCCUGGGGAGCCCCCGCUUUUUAGGGGCUCCCCAGGAGACUCACACUGAUGUGGGGAGUGUGGGAAGUCUGGCGGUUGGAGGGGUGGGUGGGGGGCAGUGGGGGCUGGGCUAUGGGUAGGAAGUGGUCCCAGAGAGGUUUUAGGUGGAAGAAUCAGGAGGAGUCACAGGUCAACUUGCAGAAUUACUGAAGAAUUAGGACCCCAAAUUUUAUGCCAAUUGAUCUAUUCCCCUCUUUUUAUUUCUGGGGCCGGUUUUUUCCUUUUUUUUUUAAUCCCUCCUUAGCUUUUUAUGCGCUCAUAAUCAAUUGUACCCAUUCCCUACAUAACGGGAGCAGUGAUCAGGUAAUGAAUGCAUCGAGCCAUCAACACCAGCUAGAGCCAUCAACACCGGCUACCACAAUGUCCUGCUCUCCACAACCUUGAUUUUUUUUUUUAUCUCUCUCUAUCGCUUGGCCUGAGUUGGGAGUGGAGUCUCUGUGGGGUGCUGGCCACGCACCCACAGAGAAAUAAAAGGAAUUGAGAAGGUCGCUACCUGGCCUGACUUCUGGGGACAGUGGCUGGUCCCCAGAAGUUCUGAGGAGUGGAGGGGGCGUGGGGCAGUGUCCCCUCAGGUGUUAGGAAGGUGCUCGGAGGCCACAAAAGAUGGGGCUCCCAGCUGGCCACUGCCAGUUGGGGGGGAAGGGGAUAGAGAUGUGAGAGUAGACAGGUUACAUCAGGCGGGAGCAAGUGGCUGCCUUCUGAGCAUUUGGGGGAGAACCUCUCCCGUCCCUCAGUGUCAUCUUGCCCACUCCUCAGCACCCCACCUUGCCCCCAGGAGGUCUGGAGCUCUACAGACCUCCUGGGGGCAAGGUGGGGUGAGGCCCGGAGUUGGGGAAGCUAGGAGGCUUAAAGCCUACAGAGCCAGGAGAACUGUAUACACGGGGUCAUCUGGGCCCUGGGGCCUGAGGGUCUGGCGAGCCGUAGCAGCCACUCCACGGUGCCUAGGACUGCGGCGGGGAACAGGGCGGCUGGAGGUUUACCUCACCCCCACUUCUGCUUCCAGUGCAGUCCCCCUGCCCAACAGUCCAACUAGCAAUCUAGAGGCCUGAGGCUUCUGGGCCCAGGUGACAGGACUGGCACCACCCUGGGGGCGGUGUGUGUCAGCCAAGCAUGGCACAGAGGGUCCCUCAGCAAGUGCCUAAAGAAUGGGCCAUUUGGAACAUUGGACAGAAACUCAAAGAGUAAAUUGUUAUAAUUGGAGACUAUGAAUUGGCCUGGUAUCCAAAACAUCUCGAGGCACCCUAAAUUACCUGCCCAUUUGGCUGGACACCCACCCAGUGUUAAUAUGCCUCGUGGGAUGGGUGCUUUCAGGGGCAUUUGCUGACCACCCUCUGUGUCCCCACAUUUGCAGUUCUCCCCAUCAUAGGUCACCUUGAUGCAGGCACCUCCCUGGCCUCCUAUGCCUAGUGUGGCCCUCCAUCUUGUCUCUUCCCUACUGUCUUCAGUGGGAUCCCCUCUUGGGUCCCUCCCUUUGUCAUCAUGUGAAGACUUCCCACGCGUCGAACGCCAUAUGUCACCUGUGCCACUGUCCAUGUCAUCCAGCAGUGGCCCCAGGUGUUUGCCUCAACUCAGUCCCUCUAACAUGCAUUUUCUGGCAAAAUCCAAAGCUUGGGUUUUGUUUUUAACCUGUUAACGCUCGCAAACCUAAUAAAGCAUUUAAAAUAC